UGAGCAUAUCAUAAGCGGAGGAAAAGAAACUAACAAGGAUUCCCCUAGUAACUGCGAGUGAAGCGGGAAAAAGCUCAAAUUUAAAAUCUGGCGGUCUCCGGCCGUCCGAGUUGUAAUUUAGAGAAGUGUUAUCCGCGCUGGACCGUGUACAAGUCUCCUGGAAUGGAGCGUCAUAGAGGGUGAGAAUCCCGUCUUCGACACGGACCCCCAGGGCUUUGUGAUGCGCUCUCGAAGAGUCGAGUUGUUUGGGAAUGCAGCUCAAAAUGGGUGGUAAAUUCCAUCUAAAGCUAAAUAUUGGCGAGAGACCGAUAGCGAACAAGUACCGUGAGGGAAAGAUGAAAAGAACUUUGGAAAGAGAGUUAAACAGUACGUGAAAUUGUUGAAAGGGAAACGCUUGAAGUCAGUCGCGUUGGCCGGGGAUCAACCUUGCAUUCGUGCUUGGCGUACUUCCCGGUCGACGGGUCAGCAUCAAUUUUGACCGCUGGAUAAAGGUCAGGGGAAUGUGGCAUCUUCGGAUGUGUUAUAGCCUCUGGCCGCAUACAGCGGUUGGGAUUGAGGAACUCAGCACGCCGCAAGGCCGGGUUUUUAACCACGUACGUGCUUAGGAUGCUGGCAUAAUGGCUUUAAUCGACCCGUCUUGAAACACGGACCAAGGAGUCUAACAUGCCCGCGAGUGUUUGGGUGGAAAACCCGAGCGCGUAAUGAAAGUGAAAGUUGAGAUCUCUGUCGUGGAGAGCAUCGACGCCCGGACCAGACCUUCUGUGACGGAUCCGCGGUAGAGCGUGUAUGUUGGGACCCGAAAGAUGGUGAACUAUGCCUGAAUAGGGUGAAGCCAGAGGAAACUCUGGUGGAGGCUCGUAGCGAUUCUGACGUGCAAAUCGAUCGUCGAAUUUGUGUAUAGGGCGAAAGACUAAUCGA
rnacentral:rRNA from 1 species